rnacentral:tRNA from 1 species
CCCUGGUGUCCAGUGGCUAAGACUCUGAGCUCCAAAUUCAGGGGGCCUGGGUUUGAUCCCUGAUCAGGGA